AUUGAACGCUGGCGGCAUGCCUUACACAUGCAAGUCGAACGGUAACGGGCCUUCGGGUGCCGACGAGUGGCGAACGGGUGAGUAAUACAUCGGAACGUGCCCGAUCGUGGGGGAUAACGAGGCGAAAGCUUUGCUAAUACCGCAUACGAUCUACGGGUGAAAGCAGGGGACUGCAAGGCCUUGCGCGGACGGAGCGGCCGAUGGCAGAUUAGGUAGUUGGUGGGAUAAAAGCUUACCAAGCCGACGAUCUGUAGCUGGUCUGAGAGGAUGAUCAGCCACACUGGGACUGAGACACGGCCCAGACUCCUACGGGAGGCAGCAGUGGGGAAUUUUGGACAAUGGGCGCAAGCCUGAUCCAGCCAUGCCGCGUGCAGGAUGAAGGCCUUCGGGUUGUAAACUGCUUUUGUACGGAACGAAAAGCCUUCUUUUAAUACAGGAGGGUCAUGACGGUACCGUAAGAAUAAGCACCGGCUAACUACGUG
rnacentral:rRNA from 1 species